AGUUUCCUGGGGCAAGGGAUAAAAGAAUAAAAAGCGGAAUGUAUUUCGGUUGCG
rnacentral:rRNA from 2 species